rnacentral:rRNA from 1 species
CCUACGGGGGGCAGCAGUGGGGAAUUUUUCGCAAUGCUCGUAAGAGUGACGCAGCGACGCCGCGUGAAUGACGAAGGCCUUCUGGUCGUAAAGUUCUUUCGACAGGGAAGAAAAUGCCUAUAAGUAACUGUGUAUGUAUUGACGGUACCUGUAUAAGCAGCCCCGGCUAACUCCGUGCCAGCAGCCGCGGUAAUACGGAGGGGGCGAGCGUUGUUCGGAGUGACUGGGCGUAAAGAGCACGUAGGCGGUGUUGUAAGUCAUUAGUCAAAGACUAGAGCUCAACUUUAGUAAGGCUAGUGAUACUAUACUACUAGAGUAUCAGAGAGGAUUGCAGAAUUCCUGGUGUAGCGGUGAAAUGCGUAGAUAUCAGGAGGAAUACCGUUAGCGAAGGCAGCUUACCAAACUACGACUGACGUUGAGGCACGAAAGCGUGGGGAGCAAACAGGAUUAGAUACCCGUGUAGUC